AUAUGAAGGUCGGAUAGUUGGUGACAGCUACUCUUAAUGAAAGAGUAGGAGGAUGCCACAUACUGAAGUCGAUUUACCAAGAUAUUUUCACUGUGUAAAUUUAAACAAGUGGUGUAGGUUAAUGAUUAUAAAUGUGUAUUAUAGGGUUACGUACAUAUUUGCACCGUCCAUUACGAGAAGACUUCUAUACUAUAUAUAAUGUACUAUUUAAAAUGAUACUAUGUGCAUACUAGAGCCAAGAUUGAGCAACAUGAAAUACAAAGCUAAUAGGAAUGGUAAUAGAACACUUAACAGUAAACACAAAACCCAAGUUAAAGGAAAUAUAAAUCCAAUCAAUAGGCAACCCAAAUCUCUAGGCAAUUAAAUUCACCUGCCAUAAUACUGGAGACAUAUAUUUACAUUUCUCAUGAGCCACAUGAAAUACAAAGCUAAUGUGAAUGGUAAAAGAACACUUGCUAGUAAACACUAAACCCAAGUUAGGGAAAUAUAAACCCCAAUACAUAGGCAACCCAAUUUUUUAUGAAAUUAAAUCCACCUGACAUAUUACUGGAGACAUGUACUUACAUUCCUCAUGAGCAACAUGAAAUACAAAGCUAAUAGGGCUGGUAAUAGAACACUUGACAUUAAACACUAAGCCCAAGUUAGGGAAAUAUAAAUCCCAAUCCGCAACCCAAAUCUUCAGGAAACUAAAUCCACCUGCUAUAAUACUAGAGACAUGUAAUUACAUUCCUCAUUAGCCACAUGAAAUACAAAGCUAAUGGAAAUGGUAAUAGAACACUUAACACUAAACCCAAGUUAAGGAAAUAUAAACCCCAAUACAUAGGCAACCCAAAUCUUUGUGAAAUUAAAUCCACCUUCCAUAAUACUGGAAAUAGUUGUUAACCCUUUUUUCCCAGUAGGUUCAACGCAUGUCUCAAACAAUCUACUUGGAAGGUCUAACUUGUCCAUACCAAACCUGAAGAAUGAAAAGUAAGAGAGGCAAAAAGUGAGGACGGUUCACACUGUAAUAUUCAAUAUAGAAAUGAAUUAUGAGUCAAACAGAAUAAGAACGGCUAAUGAAUGGAAAGGCAUAUGAUGUAAAAGUACGAUUCCAUGUAAAAUGGAAUAAUGCGAACCUCAUACUAUUCCACUUAACAUAACAUAUAAUAACGAGAUAUACUGAUACGGACAUACGAUGAAACAUCUAUGUAUUGCAGAUGCUAUUCCACAAAAUAAUUGAUAUUUCUACACCAUGAACUAUGCACUGCAGAGACAAAACCCCCCAAUUCGAGCAUUACUUAGAAUAAGAACAUCAGAGAGGAACCACAACCGACCACAAAUUGCAGCAAAGCAAAACAUAAUAGCAAGUGAUACUAUCCUCAGUGGAAUAGUUGUAUGGGAUAAGUAUACUAUUACAUUUCAAAUGGAAACCGAAUUCGAAAUAUCAUACUAUGUGUACCGACUGAGCAUUUCUAAGAAUUGAUAUUCCACAC
rnacentral:lncRNA from 1 species